GAUCACUCAUCUGUCUUCCAGCAGCCUAUUAUUCUACUUCUGCAGCAUCAAAAGCCUUUGAAACAUUAAGAGGAGCAUCCUUGUUUCAUAUUUGCGUAUCACUUAACACAGAAAAAUGGUCAGCACAGUGGAUCUAUAGAAGUGCUUCAUCAUUAUCUAAUUUCUAAGAAGAUUUAUAAAACAAGGGGGGCAACAGAUAUGCAAAUGUCAUGAAUUAUCUGAGAGAAGAGCUCACUCUUGGGAGAGUUUCAAGUUUCCGCAAGGAAGGAAAAGAGAUAUUGACACGUCCUGCUUUGAAACCUCAGCAUGUCACCCCAAAUCACUGUCCUGGAAGAAGAGCAAGGACUUCACCUUGGCCCGGCUCCAUGAUAUUUGGCCUGUGUCGAGUGAUGGUUUCUAAGUGGUGAGGAGGAGGCUGAGACACUCCAAACAAAACUGUGUUCUGGAAGUUGUUUGAUAUGUACAUAAGUGUGUCGAAAAUGGUCAAGAGGGAGAUGCACCACACUAACAGCUAAAGCACAGAAGGUAUUCAAGAGCCCACAGACAAAAAGAAGGCACCUUUGGAACCAAAAAACUCAGAUUGAAAUC